rnacentral:lncRNA from 1 species
CAGAACCCUCUCUAUUCUCCUACUCGAGGAUUCUUACAUAGUGUUCUUGGAAAGAGACAUAUUGGGGUGGUAGGGGGGUAACUCCUUCUAAUCAAGGGCAGCAAAGGGCUGGCUCCAACCUUGUGCUCUGCUUGCUGGAGUUCAAAUCCCAUCUCUACCAUUUACUGUGUGAUGUUGAGCAAGUUAUUGAACCUUUCUGGGCUUAAUCUCAUUACUGUAAAAAGAUGUAAUAAUAAAAUGAGGAUGGAAACACGUAAUUUGCAUAAAGUGCAUGACUUAGGUACACAGUAGGUGGUCGAUAAAAAAUACCUUUUCCAGCUCCCCCACAGGCUUGUUUUCCUUUCCCCUUCCAGAUGAGUUUGGCAUUGAUGAGAAAUUUCCUUUCUUCACUUUCCCUUUUUUGUGUGUCUACCAGCCCUCCUCCUGCUCAGCCCAGCCAUGACCUAUGCUGCUGUCCCACAUAGGCUGAUUCAAAGGGUUAGUGCCAAAAAUAUAAGCCAGCUUACCUUUUCAGAAACUGUUUGAGGGUGGAACAAAUUAGUUAACACAAAAAAGAAAGGAAAGAUUGUCUCUAGAAGCAAUUAUAUUAUGGAACACAAAACAAAAAUUGGAGCAGUUCCUCCAAGCACUGUGGAAUGCAGUUAUGAAACCAUCUCAUCUAUGUUUAGAAACACUCUGCACAAUUUUAUUCAUUUCAAGUAACAAUAAAAUAACGACAAAUGUCUGUGGGAAGGAAAGGUGACACACCUCUGACCCGAAAUUCAUGAUCUCCAUCUGACUUAUGUGUGAUGUGUAAUUUUCAGUAGAGAAGUAAAAUUUGAUUUCAGAAUGACCCUGUAGUCCCAAAGAUUGGAAAUUAAGGCUUGGAUGUGGGCUUAUUUUUUCAGGUAAGCAGGUGGGUGAUAUGUGACUCAAGAAACCAGUCACAGGCACUCAUGCUUUAAGUGGUUCCAACUGCAAUUUCACGUUUCUCAGCUUCUGAUUGUAGAAAAACAGGCGAGAAGACAUCAGCAAAGAUGGAAAGAUAAAUUAGGGGGUUUUUUUCUUUAAAGCUAGCAGCAGCCUAAGUAUAUUUUCACUGGAACCCAGUUGACAACAAGUAGGCAGCAGCGGGACUGGGGGUUCUUAUCAUUGUACUCCAGUGUUGCCUAGGCUUGAGGGAAGCGUUCUGGACUCUGCUGGUGCAUGGUGAACAUGUUGCUUUGAGGACUAUUGCUUUAUGCUUUUGUGCAUUCUGUGUUUUCACAUUUUAAUUCUUAGUAUGGUGGAUAGGUACUGAUAUCACCCACUUUUGAAAGGCCCUUUAGUGUCCUCAAUCAUUUUGAAGGCAUGAACUGAGAUGUUUAAAAACUACUGGUCCAGAAAAAGACAGUCCCCUAGGGAUGAGGUGCGUCCAGCCUGGCGACAGAGCAAGGUCACCUCCUCAGGUUGCUCAGGGUCAUUGUUUGGUGUGCAUAUCACAUGAUUAUCUGUUCAUGGAUUUCCUGUUGGUUUCUCUGGUGGAAACAAAACCUCCAUGAGGGCAAUGGCUUUGUAAGGUUUUGUUCAGCCCUACAACUUACCCCAUCCUUCUUGUCACUUCCCACAGCAGUUCUAGAAGUGCCCUUUCUCGAGUGUCUUUAGCUGCUCUGCGAUGGCUCUCUUGAUAUCCUGAAUUGACUCAAAACAUUUGCCUUUUAUGGUCAUCUUGACUUUGAGGAAGCUGCACAGUGUCAGAUCUGGUGAAGGAGGUGGAUGGGAACACAGCUUGAUGUUUUUGACACCAAUCGCCUUACCAGAAGAGAUGUGUGACACAGAAUGUUGUCAUCAUGGAGGAUGAAACUACUUGCUCAAUUUCCAGGCCGUUUUCUACAAGCAUUGCUUCUUAGACACUUUAUUAAACCUAAUAAUAUACUAUCAUGGUGUUCCUGGGUACAAACUCAGCUCCCACAAUUCCACCAAGGUCAAAAACCUCAAUCAACACAACCUUCAGGUUGGGUCUUGACUGACAUGCUUUUUCCCCAUGAGGAAAACUGGGUGAUUUCCUGAGAACUGAGAACUCUGAACCUUGGUCCCAGGAUCAUAACUAUACACCCAAGUGUCACUCCCGUGAUGCCAUUUGUUAAGAAGCUGACACAACCUCCUGUCAACUGUAGCUCACACUGACUAAACGCAACCAGUUGCAACUGGUGGCAUACAGUCACUGGGGCUGAGCUUCUGGUGUUGCAGAUGCUGCUUUCCCAUUGCAUGACACUCAGCAGUAGCAUUCAUGAUAUUGCUUGAUCGCACCUCAUAAUAUAAAUAUCGCCAUUCAAAAAGUGCCUUGCCCUUAUACUAAGUUCUCUGUAAGCCUAUAGAAAUGUGAGCAGGUUUCUAAUGGUGACUGCUGGGUGCUCAUGAAAGUGGACUGCGAGCAGCAGGAGUGAGCCAGGUUCUGCUGCAGCAAGCACAGGGUGUGGGUCCGUGGGCAGAGCAGCCAGCACCUGGCUCAUGUGCCUCAGUGGCCCCUCAGUCUGGGGUGAGUUACUGUCUGUGGCUUCCUCCUCUGUAACAUGCAGAAGGGCAGAGCGCUCACCUUGUUAGAUUGUGUGAAAUGGGAAGUUAAUGGAUAUAAAGUGUUUAGCAAAGAGCUGAGACUUAGGAAGCUCUCGAUACAGUACACACUGCAUGAUCACACCAGACCGUUAGUGACUGGGAAGGACAGUCCAGUCUCCAAAAUCAAUCAGAGGUGGCCAAAAAUGUAGCCAGGACCACAAGACUUUAAUGAUUCAAACACAGUAAAAGCAAUGAAAUAAUGCCACACUCAUCAUUUGUGCAUGAGGAGAUUAACAUGUUCACAACAGGGCUGCACAUGCACGACUGUCCCAUCAGGGGGCUGGUACUACCCAAUUGGACUGGUCCCCUGAGGCCCAAUGCAACUGUCCUGAAUGUACCACUGGUGGUUUGAGCCAGUGGGAACUUGUUAAACGAUGGAUGGAUGUGUCAAUUCCACAGAGGAGGGGCCAGACCACUCCUGUGGCUGUGGGCGCCAUUGUGGCCCAGGAAGAGGAAAGGGGUAAGCUGGGCGGUGGGAGAGAAAGUUUGUUCUCAUCACUUCUUUCUGCCCUGCCUUGUUCUUUCCCCCAUCAUCCACAGCAUUUAAAGACCUUAGGACUCACAGCCUGGGGACUAGGUUUGGUCUUGGUCUUUGAUCUGCUGGAACCAGCAGUGUGACCUUAGAUGGCCUCUUGACCUCUUUGGACUCCAGCCUCCUCAUUUGAAAAAAGAAUUAAAUGAUUUAAAAAGGCUCUUGGUAGGUUUCUGGGAGUUCAUUUAAGCUUUUUUUUUUUUUUUUUUUUUUUUUUUUUUUGGUACCAGGGAUUGAACUCAGGUGCUUGCACUUGCGCAGCAGGCGGCAAAACCGCUGAGCUAAAUCCCCGGCCUUUAAGCUUUUGAGAAAUACAAGGACUUCCUGGAGUGAAAUUAGGAAUAGAGAUGGGUUAGCACUAAUUCUAAACUCACCCUCUCCAUAAGAGAUGGGUGUCGUGGUGUCCCAACCGGAACAUCUCAACUCUCCGGGAACAAAAGUCAUCUGGGUUCUCUGGGCCUGAGGCUCUGAAGGGCAACUCUAGAGCGGUGUGGGCUUCACAGUAGCUGUUUAUCUUCACACAGCCAUCCUUCCUGAGGAAAACGCCCUUGACAGUCCCUUCCUGCGUCCUCACUGCCUCUCGCCAGUAGGACGCACUGACAUUCCUGUUGUUCGUCAUGCUUUAAAAUUAGCACCCCUAAGCCUUUUAGGAUCUUCAGCCUCUCUUCCCAUGAGCUGCACCCCCAGCCCAAACUUGGCUCCUGCGGCCUUCAGGUGGCAUCAAGUGGUGAGCACCGCGUCUCUGCAGACUCUCCGGACGAUUCAGAACGUCGAGACAUCGUAUCAUGCACUGGGGCACAAGCUGCUGAGCUCUUUCGGAACGUUAAAAACUCCAGUGGAAAAACGCAGGUGGUUCUGGGGGAAGGGCCUGGUGACACUGCCCAGGUGGUGGCCCAAGACCUGUCCCGGGAAAGCCCGCCCGUGUCUCAGGGGGGUGAAUGGGGGAGGCGGGCACUGCCCUGGUCCCCAGGAGCUCUUGUUGGUGUUGGGGCAAAGCACACAUGGUGCUUACUGUCUCAGCCUUUGCACAGGCGCAGCUCAGUGGCAUUGAACACAGCCCCAUUUUUGUGCAUCCAUCACCACUGCCCCUUCCAGAAGGUUUUCAUUGUCCUGAACUGAAACUUUAUGUCCACAGUACGGUAAUUCCCCAUCCUUCCACCCCCUGGCCCUGCCCUAACCUCACUCUGGUUCCUGACUCUAUCAAUCUGACCAGCGUGGGUCCCCGAUAGUAGUGGGAUCCUAUAAUAUGUAUCUGUUGUAUCUGGCUCAUAUCCCACCGCAUAAUGCCUUGAGGACACAUCCAGGUUAGAGGCUCUGUCAGAAUUUCCUUCCUUUUUAGGUCUGAAUGAUAUUUCACUGUGCAUCUAUACAACACUUUGCUUAUCGUUCUAAUAGUAGACACUGUGUACUUUUCCCCCUUGCUACUGGAGAUUAAAUGCAGGACCUUUGCACUGAGCCAUAUCCCUAUCCCUUUUUAUUUUUUAUUUUGAGACAGCAUCUUGCUAAGUCACUAAGUUGCCCAGGAAGAAUUUGAACUUGGGAUCCUCCUGCCUUAGCCUCCCAGUAUUUUUCAGUAUUUCAGGUUUAUGCUACCAUGCCCAGGUUCUGUGUACUUGGAAGCAGACUGUUCUGUGUGAUCUUCCCAGAAUCCUAACUCUUCUCCUGCUGUUUAAUAUUGGAAGUAGUGAGGACCCCAAGGUUAAGGUACUUAUUCAAGGGACAGAGUAGCAGAUGGCACCUUUAGCCCUGCCUCCCACAAAGCCCCUGGUAACCUCCAGCUUGUCGUGAGCACAGCCAAAAUCCUGGGUAGAAAAGAACUUUGGCCUCUUGAGUGUAAAACCACAGAUUGCUACAUAGCUUAAGAUCUUAGCCUUGAUUACACUGAGUAUUCCCUAAAUAACAUUAUUAAUGUGCUUUUGAAUUGUUCACAGAAUAUUUGCUGCUAUAAGAUAAUUUUUCACAAAAUAAGAAAAUAUCACAUUUCCUCCGAGCUUUGCCUGUGGGUCAAUUUCUUGCCCGGAGCUUCAGCUCUGGUGCGGCUUCCUGCAAGUAUCUCACUCACUCGGGGCAGCAGGCAACGGCCCCCAGGGAGGAGCUGCCUGCCCCCAGCUGGGCGGUGUAAACUGUAACCUUGUCUCAGCCUGCCUUACGCCUUCUGGCCACCAGGUGGAGACGUAGCGUGGCGAAUACGUCUUACUCUAGGCUGUUCUCAGAUUCCGUUCAGCUGCUAAAGCUCAGCCCAGCAGGCUGCAGCUGUGGCAUUGAGCACCGGGUCUAAUGCCGAUCCGUGCUCUCAGGGCUCUCUGGCGAAGGGAGUAGCCGGAAGUAGCUGGGUCCUGGAAAGGGGAUGUGUUAGCCCUGAAAAGGGAGAGGUUUCACCACCUUUCCUCCCAUGCCUGGAGCCUGGUGGGUUGUUUAGGAGCCUGUCAUAGAGGCGGUAAUCUUGGAAAGGAGAUCUGGUACUUGCGUGUGGCUGCAGCCCAAGUCCACCUUUCUCAACCUCCGCUGUCUUGACCAUGGGGGACAGACGUGGGGAGCCUGGUUGUCCCCACCCGAAAGCGCAUUAAAGCUGUAACUCCGCAGAAUCCACCAUACAGUGCCCAACUGCAGCUGCUGCUACUGUGAGUCAGUGCCACUGAAAGCUCAUGAAAAAAUUAAUAAACCUUUGAAAGGGCAAUAAUGCAAGGACAAACUCAGUGUUUCAGUUUUCCUGAUUUCAUUAUAGAACCCUCCUGCACUUACUAAAUGCUAUUGGUGCCUGUGGCACUCAUAUGUGCUUGUACUAUUGAAGGCAAAACAAAGUUACUAAGCAGACUCUGGGGUGGGGUGAAGACUUUGCAAAAUCACUUUACUAUUAUCUCUCCUUGCACGGAAUUAUUAAAAUUGGUAUUCUCUGCUCCUAAAGAUAACCCCGGGGGCAGACAGAUUUCCCUUUCAUAUAAAUCAGGAUAGAGGGAAUCUAUUUUAUGGGUAUAGUUUAAAAAGCUCCCUUAGUAACAAAUGAUCUGGGUUUGGGUUUUUGCAGCUUGAUAUAUCUCUGCAGAGUUUAUAGACCCUGGAACGUCUCCCAGGACCUGUGAUUUUAUUAAAUGCUUGGCCUCUUUUGGCUCUUCCUCAGCUCCCUGACAGACCAGAGCCACGGGCGGGGAACACAACACCAGGCUCUUUGGGAGGUGGACAUUUUGCUUGGCCAAACCAUCUCCAGGGGAGGGAAAAAUAAAAGCAAUAACACGUUAACAGGUAGAGAUUUUAACUUUGUUGCCAAGCCUCUCUGAUCCUUCAUAUUCCUUACAUCUGGUUCAUGGACAUGGUUGGUGACUCAGGUAGAGGCCUGAGAAGUGAGGUUCCAUCUCCCCAGGGGUGGCCUUGCUUUGUUGGGGGGAGGAAUUGUACUCUGACCUUGGUCCUAAUUACAGUGUGCUCCAGGCAGGAAUUCGGACGAUCCUCUGUCCAGGAAGGGCAGCACCACCAGCCAGCUCUUCCUUUGCCACAGGGAGGCGAGGAGAAAGUGCUCAGGUAAUAUUCGCUGUCCUCCAGGGCAGGACAGGGACAGCCCACAGUGCUGCUCGAGCCACCACCAGCUGGGACCAUCUGCAGCAGGUGGCACCAGGAGCCUUCGGCCUCACAGCUAUGUUCUCCCUUGGCUGCCACUCUAAACACGUGAAUGGGUACAGACUGGUACCUGAGCUACGCAGCAUGGAGCAGGGCUACGACAGCCGCCCUCGAGGGUAGCGGGAAUGUUGGAGUCUGCUCGGUUUGCAGGGUUUCAUGUGGGUCAUUAUAUCUGCUUGAGCUCAGUGGAAUACAGACCAAAUUGUCUUCCGUCUCCUGGGAAUUGUGAUUUUUUGUACUGGGAACAUUUCUGUCCCAACAUGACCUCCAGAGGACCCCAGAAUAUAGCGAAAUGUGGCUUCCAUUACUUACACUAGAGAGUAGCUACAAGGUGUCUACCACAUUUCUACUGGGAGCUCUUUCUAUGUGCAAGGUACUGAUUUAGGUAGUUUCUGGGUACUUGCAAAAAUAUCUCUUGAUGCUUUCAUAACUCUGGGAAAGCAGCUAUUAAUUGCAUUGCACAGCUGUGUGCAUUCUAGCCUGCAGAAAUUAGAUGCAUUAUCCAAAAUGCAAUUCUAACUCGCCUCACCUGGCAAUCUGAUGCCCAGCCAUCCCUACCGUUAGCUUUCUCACUGGUCUUUAUUGCAUUAGCAUGUAGAAAUCCGGAACUGUGAAGGGAAAGGUUUUACAUUCUCGGGAGCUUUGCUCCAUGGACGUAAUGGGAACCAUGACCUGCAUAAGAACCAGCCGGUGGUGACCCUGUGGGCAGUGGCUCCGGCCAGGAAGCCCUGGAAGACUUAGCCUUGCCAGAUAGGACACGAAGUGCCCAGAAGGCUGGGGAGGACAGCUGGGUGUUGUCACCUGGACCCAAGAUGACCAGGCAGGAACAAGAAGCAGUGGCCUCAGCUGGGAUUCACUCUGGCCAGGACUAGAGGAGGAUUCCUUUAUAGACAGAAUCCUGUGGCCUUCGCUGGGAAACCUUUAAAAUAAUAACAUUAAUAGCAAUGAUGGGAAACUGAGGUUUUCUUUGCCUGGGUAGCCAGAAUGUCUCACAGGGUGACUGUGAGGCUGGACACCCCAGGACAUGAUUCAGGUAGUGUUUUGUCCCCUGCCUGUCCUGUAAGAGGAGUCAGCUCAUGUCACAUUCCUCCCCGCCCAGAUGCUGCAUCAUUACACAGGCCCUCGGUUUACAGACUCUGACCUCAGGAACUGAGGGGUGGGUUGGUGCUUCAGCUGCAGACAGGUGUCCAGAGGCCAGCACUGCUCGCUGGGGGCGCUAGGCUGCGGAUUCAGGUCUCCCCACUCUGUGUCCCAGGGCUUCCCCACGGGCCUCUCGGCCUGUCUGGAGCAUCCUCUCGGAUGACAUCCACGCGGCAGAACAUGUCCUCCUCUACCUUCCACACCGUCUUGGAUCUUCUCCGGGUCGAGAUGGGCAGGGCAUACAAAAGCGCGAUCCCACAUGCGCCGCACUGCGUGUGUCCGUCCUCCUCGUCAGAUUUGCCAUGUUUUAAUGUGAGCUGGUGGAGAACACACUUUUGGGUCUGCCUGAGAUGCGAAACCCAAGCUGCUUAACACUGUGAGGUUAUUUUCCUCUUGUCGUGUUUCCAGGCACAGGGGUACAUUUUACAUUUUCAAUUCAUUUACUUUCUCUAGUUACAUAGCAUUGAUUAGCUAAUUAAUUUUUGUUCCAUUUAAGAAUGGUAUUGUUUUAGUCUUGUAUAAAAUAAUAUAUAUGCUAAAUAUGUAUGUAAUUAUAUACACAUGUACAUAAUAUGCAUAAAUUAAUAUAUGCAUUAUAUAUAUAGUAUGUGCACACAUAAUUUAUGCCUUAUUGAUAAAACUUUUUGCAUGCAGUAUCUCUUUACAUCUGCAUACCAGUCCUACCAAGCAGGAAGGGCAGAAACAAUCAAUUCUCAGUUUGCAGCCUGGAAAUCAAGUCCUCGGAAAUUACACCUAAUUAACCAGGGCUCAGUCUCUAUCUCAGGCUGGUAUUUCUGUGUGACCGACCUCCUCCAUGCUGUUCUACAACCUGCAGUAGGUUUUAGGGUCUCAGAAUUUCGUGGAGAGCUUGUUAAGCACAGGUUUUGGGGCCCCAGCCUAGAGUUUCUGACUGGGGGAACCUGGGGAGGGCUCCAGGGCUCAAAUUUCUAACCUGGGCUGGGUGGUGUUGAUACAGCUGGUCUAAGGCCCCUGCUGUAAGAACUGCAGGCUGUAGCUUGGCCGUAGCAUCACUGAACAUCUGCCAGGUAAUCCAUCCUUCAGCCGAAAUACUGAAAUCCAAAGUGCCCUGAAAACAAGGUUCUUUUGUGAAGGCUGGUGCAGGCUCACUUGGCAGCAAAGCCUGAGCUGAGCAGAGGUGAGGCUAUUUAUAGUUUGCUUUGUCCCUCAGUGUGACUGCUCCUGCAGUUUGCAGUGUUGAGCUGCAGGGGUGCCCGGUCUUCCCGAGAUUCCACCCCGAUGCAUCCCGUUUCCUUUCUGAUUCGGAACAACUCUGAAUCUGAAACACAUCUCUUGCUACAGAUUUCAGAGAAGGGAUUGUAAAGUUGUGCAGCCAGUUGUCCCCGACCAAGGGACUAUGUGCUUUGCUUUUGAUACUGCAGAAAAGUGCCAGUUUUUGAUAGCCACAAACUCGUACAUGCUUGAACUCCAUAUACUCCCCGAGCAGUCUUUUUGGAAGAGUCUUGAAAAGCAUCUGCCUCAGGCUGUAGCGACUCUGCUGCAUCCUGAACGGCAGGAAAAGGUGCCUGGCAGUUUCUGGCCAGUGCCCUGGGCAUAGUGCAGGGCAGAUAGGAAGUGCUUAUUCCCCAAAGCUGAGUCACAGUUAGGAGGAACGCCAGCCAGAUGCCCUUCACACUCCUGAUCACCUCUCCAUAACGCUUUGAUUGUCCACCUGGCAAAGCGAUGCCACUCAAUCUAAAGGAUUAGGGUAAGGAGGCAGACGAGAGCUUAGUGAUUUUACUUAAUAAUGAGUCAGGAGACAGUUGUUCCAAUCUCCCAAACGUCACUGCAUUUAAAUGAGAAUGCUUCUUAGAGCCAUUAUGAAACCAUCAAAAGCACAUUCAUCAGGAAACACAUGUUGUAACUGGAUUACUUGCAGCUGAGCUAAAAUGAGGUGCACAGAGAAAACAUUUAUAAAAAUUUCCCAAUUCAUUAGCUGUUCUGUUCCCAGGGCUGCUGACCUCAUGGCCCCUCGUAGUCACCCCAGACCCCUCCAGUGCAGUCCCCAGGGGCCCCAGGGGCGGGUGACCCUUCGUAGAUUGGUGUCUCUGUGCAGAGAAUGGUUUGCUGCAAGCAGUGACCUCUGUGCCCAGCAGCAGGGAGGUCCUUCGUGUCCAUGUUCAAGGCCCCUGAUCUCCUGUACCCGGGAAUCUGCACCUUCACCCUCUCUCAGGACCUAUUUCCCCAGCCCUGUAACUCUCCCUCCUUCUGUCUCCUACAUUUGUGGAUGCUCCUCCAGUAGGGCCACAUCAAAUUGAAAAAGCUUCUUAGCCAUGUGUGUUGGUGCACACCCAUAAUCCCAGCACUCAAGGAGGCUAAGGCAGUAGGAUCAGAAGUUCAAGUCCAACCUGGGCAACUUAGCAAUUUAUGGGGAACUUGUCUCAAAAAAAAAAAGGGCUGGAGGUGUCAGAGGCCCUGGGUCCAAUCCCGUCUUGCAGCUGAUCAAACUUCUGGUGGCUCAUUUGCCUAGAACAUGGUGGGAGGUCUAUUUUGCAGAACGGGUCAUUAUUCUGGCCAAGCAGUUGGAUUCAAUGUGCACGUCAGGUUCAGAACAAAAACUAUGAUCUGUGCAAUUUUCCAAAAACAAUAAAUCACUUACUCAUUUUUCUGAAUAGAGUCCUCAAAAUUGACAUCAGCAUUCUUCUUGGGGAACUUCCAUCCGGGCAGGGUGUCCCCGGAGAGGAAGGUUACAUAUUCCCCAAGUUGAACAAAGCUGCUACAAUAUCCAUUGGCAUCUCUGGGAGAAUUCUAGUCCCCGAAGCCAGCUCCCUUGAGGCGUGCAUGGUGCACAACCUGCACAACUGAAUGUGACAGUUUUUUCUAGUGUCCCACACAUCCUAAACAAAAUCCCAGGACUACUGAACCAUCAUGAGCUUCCUCCAUCCCACAGUGCAGGUGAUUUACCUUCCUGCUCUGGUAAACCUGCACUUCUGUUUCAACGGGUCCCCAUGCUAGACCUACGUCAGGCUGACAAGAUGCUGCGGUGACAGUAAUGACAGCCCUGGCGCUUUAGGAGUGGCCCGGGCGCUGGUCCAGGUGCUCCCGUCAGCUGCCUCCAGCUGAAGGUGUGGGUGCUGAGCAAUGUGUAACGUACUGUCUUCGGCCUUCACCAGCCCUCUCCUGUUCACUCUCUCUGGAGAAGCCACUUAUAAGGGACAAGUUUGACAAAUCUCAGAACCCACCACCUCGUGGAGGCAAAUCAUGGCCUCUCUGAACUGCAACCAUGAUUAGCAAAUAAAUGGCUAUCAGCCUGACUGCAAGAAAUCAGCUAGUCAGUCAGCGAGCAUCUAGGCAGUGCCUUCUGUGUGUCGCUCCUGUGACAGUCAGCAGAGAGCACAAGUGGUUAGGGGGCAGCUGGCACUUCUGGGGCUCCCAUGCUGACACAGGGUAGUCUCCUCAUCCUGCGGCAGGCGGUGAGGUCGCUGUCAUGAUCCCUAUUUUGUAGGUGAGAAAACUGAGGCAGGUAGGUUGUGCAGCCUCAGGUGACACCACUGAAUGAGUGAUGGCGUGUGGGUUUGAACUUGGAUCUUUCCAAUUCCAGAUUUUGUGCUUGGAACUAGUACCCUUGUUCUCUUCCCUCCUGACCUUGCAGACUGGUCUGGGCUCAGCCUCUGUCUUCGUAGCUUGGAAUAUAAAGCCCUGGUGAGGUUUGAGAGGAGGGAGCGGCUGCACUGUGUGACUCCGACUGCUGAGGUGUGCUCCCCACCCUGAUGACACACAGAAGCACUGCCCCUCAGUUCACAGGGUUGUGACCAAUCAGGAGCACCCAUCUCUGAGAUUAUUUUCCCCUGGAAUACGUAGUCCCUAAUGCCCACUUCCGGGAUGAGAUACAAGAGAUACCAUUUCAUUUUUAUUUUCCUGUUAGUUCAGAACACUUAUCCUGGGGCAAAUGUUAUUUUCUUUAUUUUGCCUAUGGGGCAAAUGCCUGGCAAAGGAAGAUUUUGCUUCAAAAUUAGCACUGCACCUGUAGGUGUGACCAGACCAAGCCCCCUGUCUAUUUUGCAGAUGCCAAUAUGCAAGAUCAAUUGACAGGGGCACCUUCUGCACUGUCCUACUGCAAAGAAUUCCAAGUACUUGGUGAUUUAUAUAGCAGAUGGAGCCUGGAGUUCUUUCUGAGGAAGAAGAAUCCUUUAGAAUUUCUGUCUUUGAGUAGCAGAAUGACUGGAGAGGGAGAUAAGAGGAGCCCCUGAGCUGGUCUUGGGUUAUGGCUAUAACUCUCCCUUAGGGCUGUGGUAGGACAUGGUUAGGAACCCAGUCUAUGCCAAGUGGUGCACUUGGGUUUACAGCUAAUCUUGGGCAACAUGGUUCCCCUCUAAGCUUUGAUUUUCUGCUCUGUAAACUGGAGACAGAAUAUCUACCUUGUGGAGUUGUGGUGAUGCUUACAUUAAAUAAUAGACUAUGUUUCAAAGUCCAGCAGAGAGCCUGGUGGAAAGGAAGUACUUGACAAGUAAGCUGUGUCUGCCGUUGUGGCCGUGGCCACCUUAUUCUAUUCCAUCCAUUCUGUGUCUCAGCUGACGGCUAGAAAUUAGAAUUACUGCAGUUAUGCACAAGCAUCCAAUGUGACCUUUUUAAGGGUGAUGGGAACAGCACUGGGUGGUAGUCCUGUAAGAGCUACUUCCCUGGUUGAAUGCGAUUCCCAUCCAGUUCCUGCACAUUGACUUGGAAUAGAAAGUGGAGUUCUGGGCCAUGCACAUAUGGUUCAGUACAUUUGGUUUUUAUUCGACACAUGUUUACGAACAUCUGUGAUCUGUU